rnacentral:rRNA from 1 species
AAGAUUAAGCCAUGCAUGUCUAAGUAUAAGCAAUUUAUACAGUGAAACUGCGAAUGGCUCAUUAAAUCAGUUAUCGUUUAUUUGAUAGUUCCUUUACUACAUGGUAUAACUGUGGUAAUUCUAGAGCUAAUACAUGCUUAAAAUCUCGACCCUUUGGAAGAGAUGUAUUUAUUAGAUAAAAACCAAUGCCCUUCGGGGCUCCUUGGUGAAUCAUAAUAACUUAACGAAUCGCAU